UGAGAAUGAUUUGAUCUAUAAUCUAUUAGAAAAAAUAGUGUGUUAAGGAAACACAUGCCGUGUAAGUUAUAUGAUAAUUAAUAGCAUGUUGUAAAUUUUUUUGGAGGGUCAACUGAUAGCAUGUUAUUGAGUUCACAUUAGUAUAAUGCCAUUUUAAAACGGGUUACAUAAACGUUCUUGUUUUAAACUACAAACUAUUAUUUGGUGGGAUAAAAAUUCUAAUAAGAAACUUGGCCAACCCUCAUGGCCUCAUCAACCAUAUAUAUUUUAAUAAUUAAAAAUUACCUGGCUGAGUGAGAUGUUUUAUUGCAAGCUAAAACAAUUUUAAAAGAAAAAGUACGUACCGAACUUUCAUGCAACAUUUGAAGAGUUAAUGUUUCACCAAUCCAGCAUAAUCUCAUAUUUCAUAUUCUAAAGUUCGUUGAACGUUUACUGCAGCGUCACCACUUCAAAAAUGAAAUAUACAAACUUAUUAUCAUUACAGAUAGCUCUCGCCUCUCGUUGCUGCUGGAAAGUUUUCUUUAUGAAAAAUGUCAUAUUGGUUCGACCAGUAAAAGUGUCAGGCGGCUUAACUGAGUUCGAUCGUCAUCGAAAGUUCAAUUUCCACUCAGAUUUUUUCUUCUCUUUGGUGUAGGGCCACUACAAAACAAUUGUAUAUGUAUAACAUAUGCUUUCACAAUUAUUGAAGAAAGAAGAAGAAAGUCCCAUAUGAAUGAAAUAAAGAUAUAACAAAGUCUCAAAAUUUGGUGUCACGCUUAUAACGAUUGUAUAAUUUUAGUUUAUUUUAGAGAAGAAAAAUGAAAAACAAAAAGAAUAAAAUCUGGAAAAUUAAAUCCGAUAGAGACGGAGACGCCAUGAUCCACGAGAGUGGAAGUGAAACGUGGGAGCUGACUCAAUAUUUCUAUAAAUAGAGAGAGAUAGAGAGAGACAUGAAGGUAUGUAGUUACAGCUACUCCAGACUCGAGACUUGAAAAAGUAUUGACGACUAGUGGGUGAAAGAUAUCUGAGUUGCGUCUUCUCUACUUGUAAGUCUUUAUUACUAAUCAAGUGGUACGUUCCAUUUUUUCAACUAAUGGUAGCAAGAUUUGUAGACGAGAUGCUAUACCUGAUGCUUCAGUUAUAGCUGUCUCUGUAUAGAUUUGAUAUCCGUUCCAUCAUAG
rnacentral:lncRNA from 1 species